rnacentral:SRP_RNA from 1 species
GCUGGGUGUGGUGGCACAUACCUAUAGUCCUAGCUACUUGGGAGGCUGAGGUCUGAGGAUGGCUUGAGUCCAGGAGUUCAGGGCUACAGUGAGUUAUGCCGAUUGGGUGUCCACACUAAGUUUCGCAUUAAUAUGGUAACCUCUGGGGAGCAGGGGCCACCAGGUUGUCUAAGGAGGGGUGAACUGGCCCAGGUCAGAAAUGGAGCAGGUCAAAACUCCCAUUCUAAUCAAAAUGUCAUAGGGAUGUUGAUAAAGGAGGAAUUCAUUCUAUGGGGAACAGCCAAAGAAAGCCUCA